UGGCACGAGGCCUAGAUAUGGUAGUGUUGGUACGAUAUAUACGUGACAUUAGGUGUGGCUUCAAUCACACAACGCGUGCAGACGGCCGUGAGUAACCACAAAGAGACGACUACACUCAGACCCAGAGUUUUGUGCAGCCCAAGCUCGGAAAAAGAAAUCCAAAAUGUCUGACAAGAAAGGAGGAUGCUGUCCCGAUCAGGCGGGGAAUGACAACCGUGCCAACCAGUGCAACCCCAACAACCCUGAGUAUAAAGGACAUGAAUCUGGUUACACUGGUACCGGUACCAAGGCCGACCUGGACAACCACGCCUGACCAGCUGAACCCCAACAAUCCCGAGUACAAGGGCAAGAAAUGAGGGUGGAAGCCCACUGCCUGGUACUGCAGAUGCUAUGUAGUACAAUUUUGCAUAGGGAAAAUGGCUACUAGAACAUUUUUCUCAUAUCACAAUCUAUGUGACAUUUCAGAAUUUCUGCAUUGUCUUUGAGCUGGAACAUACCUCUGGAGACUUUGCUUUCUCGGCACUAUUGUACAAUACCCAUUUUAACAGAAUGAAGUAUACAGGAUACAGUUCUACAUGAAAUAUAGAUUUACUUUAUUAUAAAUUAUAAAAUGGAAAAAAUGUUAAAAUAUAAUAAGAUGUGUACCAGCAAAUUACCUGUCCACAAUAUCCUUCCCUAAAGCAGCGCAUACGAGAGUUUUGUCAUGGAUUUUUCUCAUUCUUUAUUCUAUUAAAUAAAGUCUUAAUUUCUACACGUCAGCUGUACAAAUA